rnacentral:lncRNA from 1 species
GCCCCUUGACCCUGGGAUCUGCCCCAGAACCAGUGUCCAGGGUCCCCAGGAGAGAAGGGACACCUCAGCAGAAUCCAUUUUUAGGCCAUUUCAGGGUUAAUAAGGUUUCUCCAUUGGCAGAAUUACAGGAAUUGAACGUUCUCCACAACUUAUUUUAAUUCUAACUAAAUAAUAUGGCUACAGGGAGCACCAAAGGAAUCUUAAGGGGGAAAUGCUGAAGUUGGGUCAUUCUCAAGACUUUGGGUCUGUGAGGUCCACUGACUCAUCAGAGAAAGGAGUGUGGCAUGGACGGAUGCUGUGCACAGCAGUGAAUCGCAGUAACAAGUUCACAGAAAACUUCAGGAGGCUUUUACAAAGGCUUGUAAGCACUUUGAAGCUGGAGACUGUUUUUAUAUACGUACAGCACUUGCGUAACAAGGUCUCGACAGUGAAUGGGAUUCCAGGGUGCAGUUGCAAUAAAGUGAUUAAUAGUAUCAUUCAUGGUAUCAUACCUCAUUCAUAAGUUUCCUGUAAGUUAAGAGGAAUACAUUGGCAGGAACACAGUGGUUGUGACUUUAAACACGAUACUCUUGGGGGGAAAAGUUACUGCUAACACAUGCACUGAAGGGCAGUGCAAUUAGUAAAACUAUAUAAAAGGCUCAAGAAAAUAAUUUUUAAAGCAAAAGCCUGCAAAGAUCUAGUUCUGAGCUGGUUCUGUGGCACAGAAAAAGCAAGGUGGAUAUUGAUACACAGCUGGUGAAACCAAGACCAGAAAAUGAGAUGUGUCUGUCACAGGGAUGGGUCAGGGGUGAUCACUAUUUAUUCAGGAACACACAAGUAGGGUUUGGGUUUGUUGCUUCUUAAUCUGCACACAGUGAGGUGACAUUUGUCACCAAAAUUUUUGCCACCAAAAUGUUUGUCACCUGCUUGUGGCAAAAAAUCACUGCGAAGACCAGGCAAGAUGCAAAAGAGAAUGGAAAACAGUUGUCAAAGGAGAAGUAAAUGUCCUGGCUGUGAGCUGCAGCAGCUCAGGAUGCAUUUGGAGCCUUAAGAGAAAUGACAAAUAAUGGUUCAAUAUUUCCUAUAAAGCUGCUUAUUUCAUUUGAAAGCAAAUGAUGGGUCAAUAUUUCUGCUUAUUUCAUUUGGAGAAUAAGUUGUUAAACAGCUACCACGUGGCUGAAGUAUGGAGAAAUAAGUGGGGUGAUAAAAUACGACCUGGUGUUUCAGUGUACCAGCAUCCCCACGACGAGGCAUUUAGCUCGAUCCAAGAAAACAUCAGCCUUCGGGAGCAGGCGGGGUGAGUAACACAGGAUGGCUUGGGCUGCGUCCCUGCCCGGGCUC